UGGGCAAGUGCGGCGUGCUAAUACAUGCAAGUCGAGCGGACGGAUGGGAGCUUGCUCCCUGAAGUCAGCGGCGGACGGGUGAGUAACACGUGGGCAACCUGCCUGUAAGACUGGGAUAACUCCGGGAAACCGGGGCUAAUACCGGAUAACUCUUUUCCUCACAUGAGGAAAAGCUGAAAGAUGGUUUCGGCUAUCACUUACAGAUGGGCCCGCGGCGCAUUAGCUAGUUGGUGAGGUAACGGCUCACCAAGGCCACGAUGCGUAGCCGACCUGAGAGGGUGAUCGGCCACACUGGGACUGAGACACGGCCCAGACUCCUACGGGAGGCAGCAGUAGGGAAUCUUCCGCAAUGGACGAAAGUCUGACGGAGCAACGCCGCGUGAGUGAUGAAGGUUUUCGGAUCGUAAAACUCUGUUGUCAGGGAAGAACAAGUACCGGAGUAACUGCCGGUACCUUGACGGUACCUGACCAGAAAGCCACGGCUAACUACGUGCCAGCAGCCGCGGUAAU
rnacentral:rRNA from 1 species